GACGAACGCUGGCGGCGUGCUUAACACAUGCAAGUCGAACGGAAAGGCCCUGCUUUUGUGGGGUGCUCGAGUGGCGAACGGGUGAGUAACACGUGAGUAACCUGCCCUUGACUUUGGGAUAACUUCAGGAAACUGGGGCUAAUACCGGAUAGGAGCUCCUGCUGCAUGGUGGGGGUUGGAAAGUUUCGGCGGUUGGGGAUGGACUCGCGGCUUAUCAGCUUGUUGGUGGGGUAGUGGCUUACCAAGGCUUUGACGGGUAGCCGGCCUGAGAGGGUGACCGGCCACAUUGGGACUGAGAUACGGCCCGGACUCCUACGGGAGGCAGCAGUGGGGAAUAUUGCACAGUGGGCGGAAGCCUGAUGCAGUAACGCCGCGUGCGUGAUGACGGCCUUCGGGUUGUAAACCGAUUUCGCCUGUGACGAAGCGUGUGUGACGGUAAUGGGUAAAGAAGCACCGGCUAACUACGUG
rnacentral:rRNA from 1 species